GUAUCACAAGGUGAUGGUGCUCCACCUUUCCCAACCGCCCUGAUUUUUUCGGGCUGAUGACGCCUGAUAAAAC
rnacentral:ncRNA from 11 species